CGCACUUUUUGGUAAAAUUUCCUCUUACGGCUAGCGAAAUCAGCUUUAACCGACUCCAGAUAUACGUAAUUAUUGUAAGAAAUGCUUCAAAUAACUUAAACCACUUAUUUAUGAAGAAUGGAUAACAAUUCCACUCAUCCUAAAGGAACGGGCGCUUGAAGAUAGAUAAUAAAUUGAAAAUUUUGCCGUAGAGUGACCUUGCUGCAAACAAAAUGUCGUAACAGAUACUUGGUGUGAGACUGCAGGCUGUUCAGGUAUUAUUGUUUUGUUGCAAGAAUACUUGUAUAUUACAGAGAAGUUCAAGUUUCGCCGAGGAUGAUGAAAAUAAACUUUUUCAAAUUUUAUAAAAUUCAGACAAAUUUCGUAAAAUCCAUUCUCGGCGUUAAAUAGAGCAUGGAAUCCUCUACCAAUAUCACCAUUCAAAGAGUUUCAAACUCUCUUCAUCUUGUACAUAUCACCAUUUAAAAAUGUCGACUUUUCGACUUUAGCUGGCUGUAGCUACGUGGUCAGGUUGUCGAGGGAAGCCAUUUCAGCACGAAUUAGCUUAGAAUUAGUCCCUAUAUCCAUUGCGAUAACAAUCUGUAUUCAAAUUGACAAGUCGGUUCCGCACGGCCAUGAGUGCCGGUUCUCUGAAACGGCUGGUUGGAUCCGCGAACUGAAUGCGGUUCCUUAUAGUACUCGAGUCCCUCAAUAAGAACAUGAAGAAAAAUCAGAGGUGGUGUCGCGACUCUAUUUAAGUUUUGUUCAACCUCACCGUG